rnacentral:rRNA from 1 species
AGAACGAACGCUGGCGGCAUGCCUAACACAUGCAAGUCGAACGAGACCUUCGGGUCUAGUGGCGCACGGGUGCGUAACGCGUGGGAAUCUGCCCUUGGGUUCGGAAUAACAGCGAGAAAUUGCUGCUAAUACCGGAUGAUGACGUAAGUCCAAAGAUUUAUCGCCCAAGGAUGAGCCCGCGUAGGAUUAGCUUGUUGGUGAGGUAAGAGCUCACCAAGGCGACGAUCCUUAGCUGGUCUGAGAGGAUGAUCAGCCACACUGGGACUGAGACACGGCCCAGACUCGU